rnacentral:pre_miRNA from 1 species
UCUUAUGGAUGAUCAAAGAAAGUGGUUUCUCUAGAUAGAAUAUACUCCUGGUGAAAAUGCUGUGAA